UGGGGAAUAUUGGACAAUGGGCGAAAGCCUGAUCCAGCCAUGCCGCGUGUGUGAAGAAGGCCUUUUGGUUGUAAAGCACUUUAAGCGAGGAGGAGGCUACUUGGAUUAAUACUCUAGGAUAGUGGACGUUACUCGCAGAAUAAGCACCGGCUAACUCUGUGCCAGCAGCCGCGGUAAUACAGAGGGUGCAAGCGUUAAUCGGAUUUACUGGGCGUAAAGCGUGCGUAGGCGGCUUCUUAAGUCGGAUGUGAAAUCCCUGAGCUUAACUUAGGAAUUGCAUUCGAUACUGGGAAGCUAGAGUAUGGGAGAGGAUGGUAGAAUUCCAGGUGUAGCGGUGAAAUGCGUAGAGAUCUGGAGGAAUACCGAUGGCGAAGGCAGCCAUCUGGCCUAAUACUGACGCUGAGGUACGAAAGCAUGGGGAGCAAACAGG
rnacentral:rRNA from 1 species